AACGAACGCUGGCGGCGUGGAUAAGACAUGCAAGUCGAACGAGGUUACUUUUUGGUAGCAAUACUAGAAGUAACUUAGUGGCGAACGGGUGCGUAACACGUGGGCAAUCUGCCUUAAAGUGGGGGAUAGCUCGGCGAAAGCCGAAUUAAUACCGCAUAUGAUCAGCUAAGACAUCUUAGCGACAUCAAAGCCGGGGGCAACCUGGCGCUUUUUAGAGGAGCCCGCGGCCUAUCAGCNGUUGGUGAGGUAAUGGCUCACCAAGGCUUUGACGGGUAGCUGGUCUGAGAGGACGACCAGUCACACUGGAACUGAGACACGGUCCAGACACCUACGGGUGGCAGCAGUCGAGAAUUUUUCUCAAUGGGGGCAACCCUGAAGGAGCGACGCCGCGU
rnacentral:rRNA from 1 species